CCAAUAGCGUAUAUUAAAGUUGUUGCAGUUAAAAAGCUCGUAGUUGAAUUUCGGGAUCAAUAUAUCGGUCGUGCCUUGGUACGUACUGGUAUCAUUGGUUUCUCCUUUCUGACGAACCAUGAUGUCAUUAAUUUGGUGUUAUGGGAAGUUAGGACUGUUACUUUGAAAAAAUUAGAGUGUUUAAAGCAGGCUUUAGCUUGAAUACAUUAGCAUGGAAUAAUGAAAUAGGACGUUCGAACCUAUUUUGUUGGUUUCUAGGAUCAACGUAAUGAUUAAUAGGGAUAGUUGGGGGCAUUAGUAUUCAAUUGUCAGAGGUGAAAUUCUUGGAUUUAUUGAAGACUAACUACUGCGAAGGCAUUUGCCAAGGAUGUUUUCAUUAAUCAAGAACGAAAGUUAGGGGAUCGAAGACGAUCAGAUACCGUCGUAGUCUUAACCAUAAACUAUGCCGACUAGGGAUCGGAUGAUGUUAAUUUUUUAAUGACUCAUUCGGCGCCUUACG
rnacentral:rRNA from 1 species